ACAGCAGAUGAUAGCGUCUGAUUUAUUGGAUCUGGAUGUCAAUUGCUUCAACUAUCAGCAAUAGAGCUGCCCACUUCUUUUGACUAAAAAAGGAUGAGAUGGGGACAAAUUUGAGGUAAAACCAACAUGAUGAAACGGACCACAGGUGACUGUUACUUAUAUAAUCUAUCUCUAAUCAAUAAGCAAUUAAUUAGACAGCUUUUUAAAAUUUAAAUCGUGGCCGGAAUGAAACGGCAUUUUUUGUCUGAACCGUUACUCCUCGUACGUGGAAUUUUUAUCAAUGCGAAGGCCGUUGUAAAAAUCUAAAUUUGCAUAUUCUAGAAAGACAAAAACGAAAAGCUAACCCUCACUCCUUUUUAAGGACGGAUAUUACGUCACGUUUUACGGCUGGUACCUUUUCCCUUAUUACUUUUAAGUGUCCAUUCCUUUUCCUUGCAAGGUUUGUCUACCAUUUCCCCGACAUUUUUGCAAAACACAAGGUUUUUUUGCUCCCUUCCUUUACUCAGUUGUCUGUCACGUUGUCCAUUGCCUUGACUGGUUUAUACGGUGCAGCAGGCAGUUUAGUUUUAGUCCCAUUAAUUAUGGCGGUUACUAUUCAUCCCUACGAUCGAAAUCCGUUUAAUGGUGAAAAGUGUUUUAAAAGGCAACGUGUCGUGCACCGUGAUUAAAUUAACCUAAUUUUACAAAAGCGAAAGGAUUUUGAGCGAUGGCCGGUUUAUGGGAUCAAAAACAAUUUAAAAUUCCGUCCGUCCGUCAGAAGCUCUGCUGCAUCCGAGUAUAAAGCAUAAAAAAUAGAACCAAGACCGUGCAGACCAGGAAAUAUGCCAUUAUAAAAUCUAUGGAAGUCAAUUGAUAAAAUAAUUUCCAAUUAGCUUGGUUUUAUCUUGAUAAUUAACGCUGGUCGUUCCACUUACCUAUCAUGACUGUUGCCAAACAAGAACUUGCUAU